GAAAACCACUCUCAUCAAAGAGCCCUGGGCACCAUCGGGCACGUUCUCAGGCACCUUCAGGCACUUUCAGGCACCUUCAGGCUCUUUCAGGCACAUGCUCGGGAACCUUUCAUUCUGACUUUGACAAUUGGAAAAUCCAUUUCAAAAUAUCAAAGUAAUCAGGAUUCUGACCCAAACAUUUUAAGUUGUCAGAAGAACUGUUUUUGGUUGCAAUUUGGGUUGCAAGUGAAUUUUGUCCAAUCAAAAUGAUUUGUGAGUUAAACAAUUAUAUUUUGUCGUGAAAUAUGUACGAAAAAACUCGUUGCUUAGGAUAUAUCGAUUGAAGCUAAAUUUGAAGAUUUUCAAACUUGGCUUGGGAUUUCAAAAUUUUAAAAUUGGAAUGUUAUCAAUUGUACAGAAAUAAAAGCAGUUUUAUAUUUAUGCUUCUGGUGUACUUUUUUUUUGGAAAACAGAAAAACAGAACGAGGUUUAUGGUCUACAAUUUGGGUUUGUCGCAGUGAAUCGUUUUAAUAUCUGAGUUCAAUGUUUAAGCUUGGAUAACGUCAAUUUUCGAAAGCUUUGAAUGUGGUUGUUGUUGAGAUAGCUCUAACUCUGUUGAUUGCACUGGUUAUCUGUUUCAGAUUAGUGAAAAUUAGGUAAUUCAUCAUCGGCUUUACAAAAUUGUGUCCUGUAUUUUUUUCUUAAAACACUUUAUUAUGCUUUUUAUUUCUAACAAAAACUAGUUUUUUUUUUAUUUCUCGAAAAUUUUUAUUGAGUUGGUAACGAUGAUUUUCAUUUCAUCGAAA